rnacentral:rRNA from 1 species
AUUGAACGCUGGCGGAAUGCUUUACACAUGCAAGUCGAGCGGCAGCGCGGCCUUCGGGCUGGCGGCGAGCGGCGAACGGGUGAGUAAUGCAUCGGAACAUGCCCAGUCGUGGGGGAUAACACUUCGAAAGAAGUGCUAAUACCGCAUACGUCCUGAGGGGGAAAGCGGGGGAUCGCAAGACCUCGCGCGAUUGGAGUGGCCGAUGUCAGAUUAGCUAGUUGGUGGGGUAAAGGCCUACCAAGGCGACGAUCUGUAGCUGGUCUGAGAGGAUGAUCAGCCACAUGGGAAUUGGAAAAGGCCCCAGAUCCUUAGGGGAGGAGGAGGUGGGGAUUUUGGAAAAAGGGGGCAACCCUGAUCCAGCCAUUCCGCGUGAGUGAAGAAGGCCUUCGGGUUGUAAAGCUCUUUCGGCAGGAACGAAACGGUGGGCUCUAACAUAGUCCGCUAAUGACGGUACCUGAAGAAGAAGCACCGGCUAACUACGUG